rnacentral:rRNA from 1 species
UACGUAGGGUGCGAGCGUUGUCCGGAAUUAUUGGGCGUAAAGAGCUUGUAGGUGGUUUGUCGCGUCUGCUGUGAAAAUCCGAGGCUCAACCUCGGACUUGCAGUGGGUACGGGCAGACUAGAGUGUGGUAGGGGAGACUGGAAUUCCGUGGUGUAGCGGUGGAAUGCGCAGAUAUCAGGAGGAACACCGAUGGCGAAGGCAGGUCUCUGGGCCAUUACUGACACUGGAGGAG